ACCAACGACUGUGCCACGUUGAAUACAUCAAUUCUCGUCCGAACACCGAAGUUAAGCGACGUCGCGCGUGGUCAGUACUCGGAUGGGUGACCGUCACGUGUGGUUGGUU
rnacentral:rRNA from 1 species